UCCGGAGUAGCUCAGCGGUAGAGCAGCCGGCUGUUAACCGGCUGGUCGUAGGUUCGAUCCCUACCUCCGGAGCCA
rnacentral:tRNA from 1 species